rnacentral:lncRNA from 1 species
CUUCAUCUACGGCUUUGUUCGUCUUUAGUGUUUCCAAAGAUAAAAGUUCGUCUUCUACUUUAAGUUCAAAAGUUCUCAGCCCCAGGAAAACUUCCAGAUCAGUUGCGACAUUAAUAGCAGUUUCCAAUUCCUCCUGCAGGAUGCUCAUGUGGUAUUUAUGAACAUCUAAAUCCUGUAAAAGAUUAGAUUACGUGCGAUGCCAUCGUAUCUUUCAAACAUUGUUCCAUUUCAUCCAACUUGUCGUUGAUUAAUUUGCGGACACUUUGAAUUUCCUCAAUACAUGAUAAUUGCUGUAAAUUUAUUC